AGUGAUAUAAUGGAGACAGCACAAGGUUUGGAGAUAGAGGCUUAGCUGUGCAACCUUGUGAAGAAUGGGAAACAGACACAAUUGAGUGAAUAACUAGUACUUCCGAACAAAACAGCCAUGGUGUCCUCAGACAGCACUGACCAUAACAUGCCAGAGAGUGACCAGUUAAUGGAGCGGACCAUGACCUGCACAGUUCUUUGGAGGCAUUUGCUGGAACAUUGGAACGUUAGUGUGCAGCUGGCAUCAGCCUCUCUCCCGGGGCCCAUGGCUGGCUGCUGCUUCCUCUACUGCGGGUCCUGCUGCCAUCUUGCCAAGACAGGCUACUGCUUGGACUCCAGACUCUGAACAACCAACACUGCCAGGAAGGAUUCCAGCUGGAGCAGGAGAUGUGUUAUCAAAGUGAAUGCAGGGGACUUUUAAUUCUGUCAGCCAUCAAAGUUCUAAUGAAGACACUUCUCACAGAUCAUUAAGGGAUCAGCAAGAACACACACAUGGAGAUAAAGGAUGAAAUUAAAAUUGGAGAUGAGGAAAAAAAGUGGGAAAGAAUUAUGGGAAGCAGAAGGGCAGAUGGCUUCCCUGGCUUACAGAAAUCACAAAGCACAACUCUU